AACGUAGGAGACAAACGUUAUCCGGAGUUACUGGGCGUAAAGGGCGUGUAGGUGGUUACGUAAGUCUGGCGUGAAAUUUCUCGGCUUAACCGAGGCAGGUCGUCGGAUACUGCGGGACUAGAGGACGGUAGAGGCGUGUGGAAUUCCGGGGUGUAGUGGUGAAAUGCGUAGAGAUCCGGAGGAACACCAGUGGCGAAGGCGACACGCUGGGCCGUACCUGACACUGAUGCGCGACAGCAUGGGGAGCAAACAGG
rnacentral:rRNA from 1 species